rnacentral:rRNA from 1 species
GCAUAUCAAUAAGCGGAGGAAAAGAUACUAACAAGGAUUCCUCUAGUAACUGCGAGUGAAGCGGGAAAAGCUCAAAUUUGAUAUCGUAUGAU